rnacentral:rRNA from 1 species
UACGGAGGGUGCAAGCGUUAUCCGGAUUCACUGGGUUUAAAGGGUGCGUAGGUGGGCAGGUAAGUCAGUGGUGAAAUCUCCGGGCUUAACUCGGAAACUGCCAUUGAUACUAUCUGUCUUGAAUACCGUGGAGGUCAGCGGAAUAUGUCAUGUAGCGGUGAAAUGCUUAGAUAUGACAUAGAACACCAAUUGCGAAGGCAGCUGGCUACACGAAUAUUGACAC